rnacentral:rRNA from 1 species
CUGCUAUUUGGGUGAGGAUAAGCCAUGCGAGUUGAAUGGGAUACAUAAAUUUCCCAUAGCAAACUGCUUAGUAACACAUGAUCAACUUACCCUAUGGAGAAAAAUAACCUCGGGAAACUGAGGAUAAUGUUUCAUAGUUGAAUAGGCUUGGAAAAGUUUUUCAAUGAAAGGAAUAAGAUAAAUGGUUCUUAUUUGCCAUAGGAUAGGAUCGUGGUCGAUUAUGGUAGUUGGUGAGGUAAUGGCUCACCAAGCCGAUAAUCGAUAGGGGCCGUGAGAGCGGGAGCCCCAAGAUGGGUACUGAGACAGCGACCCAGGCCUUACGAGGCGCAGCAGGCGCGGAACCUCCGCAAUACACGAAAGUGUGACGGGGUUACCCAAAGUGUUCUCUUUAGAACUGUGGUAGGUGAGUAAUGUCCCCUAUUAGAAAGGAGAGGGCAAGGCUGGUGCCAGCCGCCGCGGUAAAACCAGCUCUUCAAGUGGUCGGGAUAAUUAUUGGGCUUAAAGUGUCCGUAGCCGGUUUAGUUAGUUCCUGGUAAAAUCGGGUAGCUUAACUAUCUGCAUGCUAGGAAUACUGCUAUACUAGAGGGCGGGAGAAGUCUGAGGUACUACAGGGGUAGGGGUGAAAUCUUAUAAUCCUUGUAGGACCACCAGUGGCGAAGGCGUCAGACUGGAACGCGCCUGACGGUGAGGGACGAAAGCCAGGGGAGCGAACCGGAUUAGAUACCCGGGUAGUCCUGGCCGUAAACGAUGCAUACUAGGUGAUGGUACGGCCAUGAGCCGUAUCAGUGCCGUAGGGAAACCGUUAAGUGUGCCGCCUGGGAAGUACGGUCGCAAGGCUAAAACUUAAAGGAAUUGGCGGGGGAGCACCACAAGGGGUGAAGCCUGCGGUUCAAUU